CGGGAGGGUGGGAGCGUGACCCGGCGGGGUGAGGCGGAGCGGCCGGGCCCGCCUCCUUCCCGGGGCGCUCGGGGCUGGCGAGGCUUCCCCUGACUCUGCUCCGCCGGCCGGCGGGCCCCACGGAGGCGCGGAACCAUGGCGCAGCGGAGGUCGGCGGAGCGCGGGCCUUGCCAGGGGGCGGCGGGAAGCGCCAGGCACCAGCGGCAGCUUCUCGAAGGGAAAGCUCAGGCAGAAGGUGGAUCAGCUCGGACAUCACUUCUUAUUUUAGUGUCCAUCUUCUUAUCAGCUGCUUUCCUUAUGUUCCUGGUAUAUAAAAAUUUUCCACAGCUGAGUGAGGAAGAAAGAGAAUGCAUAAAGGUUCCUAGAGAUAUGGAUGAUGCAAAGGCCUUGGGAAAAGUCCUGUCUAGAUAUAAGGACACAUUUUAUGUUCAAGUAUUAGUGGCUUAUUUUGCCACAUAUGUUUUCUUGCAAACAUUUGCUAUUCCUGGUUCUAUAUUUCUCAGUAUCCUGUCAGGGUUUCUUUAUCCUUUUCCGCUGGCGUUAUUUCUUGUUUGUCUGUGCUCAGGACUUGGAGCUUCAUUCUGCUAUAUGCUUUCAUACUUAGUGGGACGUCCUGUUGUAUACAGAUAUUUAACAGAAAAAGCAGUAAAAUGGUCAGAACAGGUGGAACGACACAGAGAACACCUCAUUAACUACAUAAUAUUUUUGAGAAUAACACCUUUUCUUCCCAAUUGGUUUAUCAAUAUAACAUCUCCUGUCAUUAACGUGCCAUUGAAAAUAUUUUUCAUUGGCACUUUUCUAGGUGUGGCACCACCAUCUUUUGUAGCCAUUAAGGCAGGAACAACGCUGUACCAACUUACAACAGCAGGGGAAGCUGUUUCCUGGAACUCUGUCUUUGUUCUCAUGAUUCUAGCCAUCCUCUCCAUUCUACCAGCUGUCUUUCAAAAGAAACUGAAACAGAAGUUUGAAUAAGGAUUGAACUGGACCAGAAUUUCCCAUACUUCAUCUCAGGAUCAGCACUUCUGAUAUUUAACUGAAGUAUGCUGCCUGCCCCAUACUGUGCAGUUUACUCUGGAUUAAGCUGAACAACCAGCAGAAUCGACUCAACCAGGUAGCUGAUCAUGGACUGAAACACCCAGCAGCUGUUCCAGGUACAUUUUUACAAAUGUAAGGACUAACUGAAAUAGAAGCCUUUGUGAGAGCUGUUGCCACAGGAAUGAAAUUCAUAUCUCUAGUAUUUUGCACUAGAAAUACAGUAAAAAGGGGCAAAAGAGGAAAUGCAUUUCUUCUUGAUUCUUACCUUUUUUUCUUUCAUUUUUGUAAGUAAUAACAAUGGAGUAAUCACUGGGAAUUUUGAGAACUAAAGUGCCAAGAAUCAUACCUUCUUGUCAAAUUCUUCUAUUCAAAAUCGAGUUCAGCACUGAACAAAUCCUGUCCCAUGAGUGCCUGUCCAUUACUUAGCACCCACUGCAGAGGCAGUGCCAGAAAGAGGAGGUCAAACUAUCCCUCAAAUAUGUAAUGAAUGUUUUUCAUAGUGCGGGACAAACUUUUGCAGGAUAAUAAAAUGGGAUUUUUUUUUUUUUUCCCAGAAGUCUGAAAAGAAUACAGGUCAAAUUGUAGAAUGCUUUCCUUCUGUCAUAGCGUGAGAUUUGUGAACAAUAUGUUUUAGUAUGACAGUGUUAAGAGGGAAGCGAAAGAAGCUUUGACAGGAGAGCAGGAUCCGGAGUGAGCUUUUCAAAUUUCCCUCAAAGAGAAGUCAAUUGUUCUGAUUAUUUUUAUGACUAAUUGAUGUCUUGCAAUGACACAUAUUUCUGUCUAACUCUCAGCUGGUGGCUUUAUAGCUCCAGGUUACUUAAACUGAAAGAAGCUGUGGCCUUUUAAUAAUGGCAAUUAAUAUGAAUAAGAGCGUAGUAUGUUUGCUAACAUACUGUAACUUCCCUUCCUGUUCUUAAAAAUAUUCCACCUAGUGUAAUAAUUCAUGUUUCAUUGUUUUGUAGUACACAAGGAAGAAUCUGGGUCUGGUGCUCUUGCAGGGGUUCCUGGGCUGUCUUUGCAGCCACCGUGUUGUCUUGGGCCUCCCACGAGUGGGAAAUGUGCAGAUCUUAUUAAACUGGAUGUUUUCAAGAGACAUCUUGGCUGUUCGUGCCUUGGCCUUUGCCUCUAUCUUGGAGGACUCUGCCUCCUUAGACUGGGGCACCAUCCUCAACAAGUGUAAGUGAAAGCGGGAGCAAACAAAACCGGACUGACAUUCCUGCCCUCUGCCCUCAGCUUGGGUAUCAACAACUUGGACCUCUCUGACAAGUGGCCUGGUGCCACUGCCCAUCUGAGGCUCUGAGAGCCCUUGUAGGAGAUACACCUGUGUGAUGCAUCUCUGACCUGCUCACAAGCUGCACCACCGGGUAUGAGUUCCUGGAGCUGGGGAGAAGAGGGACAAGGCUGUGUGGGAGCUUAAGAAAUGUGCAGCACCUUGAUGUGACAGUUUUCUGCUCUGUGCCCCGGUGUGGGAGGAUGGGUGUUACGUGAUCUGGUGUACAGGCUGUAUUCCAGAAGUCUGUUGCAUGGAUAUCACUUGCAUCAAACGUUGUUAUUAAGCAAGUGCAGCCACUUUCAAGUGUCCUGUUGUGCAGUCUGGAGAGGGUUGCUUUAAUGUUAAGUGUCACAGGCUGUGGGUUUUUUUUUUUUUUUUUUUAGGAAUCCAGGGUAAAUAUCUUAAUCGAAGUCGUUAGAAGAUACCAUAUACAACUGGCACCCUGACAACUGUGGCAAUGUGUUUAUGCUUUGAGCUCUGUUACCUUUCUAAGCUUAACUCAUCUUGGAAACAGCUGCACAGAAAAAAAAGGCAGAUACCCUAUUUCAGACUUUUUCAGUUCUGUGAGCAGUGUUGAAUGAAACUAAUUUGCUGUUCUGGUUUCUUACUGCUGAUUUAAUAAACUCUUACAAUAAUCACUGUUGUGAUUGUUGGCAAAAUAAGUCUGAAUUAACUAGUACGAGGAAUAAUCAAGAUCUGUUCACAUUAAGUUCUGUCUUCACUAUUUUAAAAAGACUAUUCUCUUAAGGCUUUAGCUUGAAAAUCCCAAUCUUUGCCAUUGAAAACAGCAGCUGAAUCAACAGUGGUAGCCUUGCCAAAGACAAUGAAUCUUUUAACUCCCUUCCAAUUUACUCAUAUAUCUUUAUGAUUCUCUGGCUAAAGAGUCAUAGUUUCCACAGAUUUCACAAUUCCACAGAUUUUUUUCAGCAUCAUAAAGAAUGCUUCCAGGAAUCCAUGGUGUAGUUUAGAGUGUUGUUGCCUUAUUCAAGGAUAUCUAAGCAAUUUGCAAAGUUUCGUCAAAAUUGCUGUAUUUUGGGUGUUUUCUGUGAUGGGAACAUUGCUGAAAAAGACUGACAGAUUAAAGAUUAAAGCUACUAGUCUUUGAAUUAGAUGCCACAGAUGUUGCUUGUGGUCACUAGGCAAAAGUAUUUCAGAAAUAAAAUAAUUGGGGGGGAAGAUACAAUGACAGAUAGUCAUUGACAAAAUGGGAGGAGAAAGCUCUAGCUGUUUGGGUAUAUCUAUGGAAUGCCUAGAUUUAAGAGAUAAUAGGCUGUAAGCAGAGAUUUUAUUUGACAAAGUAUGAAUGAGCUUUUCACAGCAGAAAUUCUGGUGACUUACCUAUCUUGAUUAAUUAACCUUUUGUUGAGUCUGGUUUGUGCAGUUCUUCCUUUUUUGUUCCUUUCUUGUAGUAAUUAAAAGCAAAUCUGAAUUUCUUACUCUGAGACUCUCCUUUUAGUGAAAUAUUUCUUGUCCUUUGCCCUGUUCCAUAGCAAGGCAUAUGUGCGUUUAAAUAUUGCUGUUCAACGGUAUUUCUUGUAAUCCUCUGCUUGCUUACUGGACCAACUAACUUUAUUUGAUAAAUCUUUUAAAUACGUCGUUACUGCUG